rnacentral:lncRNA from 1 species
AACGAAAAAAAAAAAAGACAGUACCAUGGUUGAAAAGAAAAACGAUACAAAUACAGUCCCAUUGCUUAAAUAGGAAAAUGAUAAACAGGUAUUACCAUAUGGCUUAAAAGUUAAAAAAAUAUAUAUAAAAUAACAGUAUCAUGGCCAAAAAGGAAUAUAAUAAAAAUAGUGUACCAUGGUUUAAAAAGAAAACGACAAAAAGACAGUACCAUAGUUAAAAAGGAAAAAAAAGAAAA